rnacentral:rRNA from 1 species
UACAGAGGUCUCAACCGUUGUUCGGAUUCAUUGGGCGUAAAGCGUGCGCAGGCGGUUUUUGUAAGCCAGAUGUGAAAUCCCCGGGCUUAACCUGGGAAUGGCAUUUGGGACUGCAAGGCUGGAGUUUGGCAGAGGAGACUGGAAUUCCUGGUGUAGCAGUGAAAUGCGUAGAUAUCAGGAGGAAUACCGAUGGCGAAGGCAGGUCUCUGGGCUAUAACUGACGCUCAUGCACGAAAGGCGUGGGGAGCAAACAGG